rnacentral:ribozyme from 13 species
UUUUUUUUUUUUUUUUUUUUUUUUUUUCUCCUCCGAAGAGGUCUUGCCGCAAGCGGGAGAAAAAUCGGGAGG